AAGAGUCGAAUAAAUUUCUCAAGAACCCAAAAAUUUCUUAAGAAAUUUCACCCUGUGCUUCAAAUUUUUGUUCGAUUCUCAAAACCAAAUUCCAUUCCCCAACGCUGUUGAAGAUUGAAUUGGUUGGGAUACUGUGGACUGCGCUUCCCAUUCUUCUCCCCCAUAUCUCGCAGAUUCUUCGGCACUUCUCUUUACCGCUCUUCAAUGCUCCGCACAAAAUUCCACAACGCCAUUCCCUUUACUAAUUUACGCAAACCCAUUUUCCCCAAAUCCAAACCCAUUCAAUCAUUUCCUCUAACCCCACCAUUUUUCUCCUCGAUUUCUCAAAUGGGUGAUGCUCGAAGACCGCUCUCCCCCGCCAUUCCGCCGCUCGACAAAGCCGACCGAUUGGAAUUGCUUCGUUCCCUUGAAUCUUCGCUCAGUUCUUCGUUUAGCUCCGACCCGUUGGUGCCGAAUCCAAGCCCUUUAGUUAUUGUGAUCAGUGGCCCAAGUGGGGUGGGAAAGGACGCCGUGAUUAAACGAUUGAGAGAAGUCCGAGAAGGGCUCCAUUUCGUCGUCACAGCGACUAGCCGACCAAUGCGACAUGGUGAAGUGGAUGGAAAAGACUAUUAUUUUGUCUCUAAGGAAGAGUUUCUCGCCAUGAUCGAGAGGAACGAGCUACUGGAAUAUGCGUCAGUGUAUGGAGAUUACAAGGGGAUUCCCAAAAGGCAAAUUCGAGAGUUUAUGGCAAAAGGGUAUGAUAUUGUGUUGAGAGUUGACAUUCAAGGGGCUGAAACAUUGAGGAAGAUUCUUGGGAAUUCUGCUGUUUUUGUGUUUUUGAUGGCGGAGAGUGAGGUUAAACUAGUGGAAAGGUUGAUCGAUAGGAAGACGGAGACUAAAGAAUCAUUAUUGGUGAGAGUUGCAACGGCUAGAAAGGAAGUGCAGCAUGUCAAGAAUUUUGAUUAUGUGGUUGUGAAUGCAGAUGGGAAGUUGGACAGUGCGGUUAAGCUUGUGGAAUCCAUUAUUGAUGCCGAGAAGGCAAAGGUCUGGCAGAGAAAUGCUGUUGUUUAGAUUGAGAUUUUGAGACAUCAUUUUGAAAGGUGGAUUAGAUCAUCAUCACUUGAAGAGGGUGAAGGCUGACUUCAUGUGGUUACAACUACAUACGUCGGGCAUGCUCGUUACCGACAUUUGCAGUUUUAUUUUUCAUUCUAUUACCCAAACGUAGGUUGAACUCAAACCUUUGUGAAGUUCAAAAUUUGUUUUGGCAGUUGAACAAUAAACUCAGGCAACAUAGAGAAGACUCACUGCUCCAGGAAGUUUGGAAGUUGUUGGAUGUCCACUGCUGCCACUUAGCCAAGGCGAUCGCCAAACUUUCCCAUCUUCUAAACAGCUGCUUUAAGGUUGAUUAGUAUAAACAAACAUUGCCUCACAGAGAACAAAAGCUACGUUCUGCAAAGUUUUAAAUCUCAUC